rnacentral:rRNA from 1 species
AUGAACGCUGGCGGCGUGCCUAAUACAUGCCAGUCGAGCGAACAGAUGAGGAGCUUGCUCCUCUGACGUUAGCGGCGGACGGGUGAGUAACACGUGGAUAACCUACCUAUAAGACUGGGAUAACUUCGGGAAACCGGAGCUAAUACCGGAUAAUAUAUUGAACCGCAUGGUUCAAUAGUGAAAGACGGUUUUGCUGUCACUUAUAGAUGGAUCCGCGCCGCAUUAGCUAGUUGGUAAGGCAACGGCUUACCAAGGCAACGAUGCGUAGCCGACCUGAGAGGGUGAUCGGCCACACUGGAACUGAGACACGGUCCAGACUCCUACGGGAGGCAGCAGUAGGGAAUCUUCCGCAAUGGGCGAAAGCCUGACGGAGCAACGCCGCGUGAGUGAUGAAGGUCUUCGGAUCGUAAAACUCUGUUAUUAGGGAAGAACAAAUGUGUAAGUAACUAUGCACGUCUUGACGGUACCUAAUCAGAAAGCCACGGCUAACUACGUG